rnacentral:rRNA from 1 species
UACGAAGGGGGCUAGCGUUGCUCGGAAUCACUGGGCGUAAAGCGCGUGUAGGCGGCUCGUUAAGUCCGGUGUGAAACCUUGGGGCUCAACCCCAAGCCUGCACUGGAUACUGACGAGCUCGAGUCCGGGAGGGGAGAGCGGAAUUCCUAGUGUAGCGGUGAAAUGCGCAGAUAUUAGGAAGAACACCGGUGGCGAAGGCGGCUCUCUGGAACGGUACUGACGCUGAGACGCGAAAGCGUGGGGAGCGAACAGG